AGGAAGAGUAAGGAGGAGCCAACCCACCAAGAAAGAAGUUAAAAAUGCCCCAUACAGAAGAAUGUCAAUAUUUUGGAGAAAUUGCGGUUUGAAGAAGACCAGCUGUGAAAUUCAUCCACAUUUGGUUGGCCAAGUGAGAGACUCCAGGACGAUGCUCGUCACCUGGAUGUGGCUGCCUCUUCUGGGGCUCCUGGCCAGCCACGGGGAGGCGAAGCGCUGCAAACCGGAGAUGAAAGGUA